GACGAACGCUGGCGGCGUGCUUAACACAUGCAAGUCGAACGGAAAGGCCUCUUUCGGGUGGUACUCGGGUGGCGAACGGGUGAGUAACACGUGAGUAACCUGCCCUUGACUUUUGGAUAACUUCAGGAAACUGGGGCUAAUACCUGAUAGGAGCUCCUGCCUCAUGGUGGGGGUUGGAAAGUUUCGGCGGUUGGGGAUGGACUCGCGGCUUAUCAGCUUGUUGGUGGGGUAGUGGCUUACCAACGCUUUGACGGGUAGCCGGCCUGAGAGAGUGACCGACGGCAUUGGGACUGAGAUACGGCCCAGACUCCGAAGGGAGGCAGAAGUGGGGAAUAUUGCUCAAUGGGUGGAAGCCUGAUGCAGCAACGCCGUGUGCGGGAUGACGGCCUUCGGGUUGUAAACCGCUUUCGGUCAUGACGCAGCUUUGUGUGACGGUAGUGGGUAAAGAAGCACCGGCUAACUACGUG
rnacentral:rRNA from 1 species